rnacentral:rRNA from 1 species
UUGUAGUUCAACGCCCGUAGUAAACCAAAGGGUUAUAGUUAUUGAUCUGACCAGUACUGUUCGUAACGUCAGCCACGUAUUGUGGGUGAUAGGACGAAUAAGGACAGGUCCUCGGUCUCUAACGGAAGCUAAGGUUUCCUUAGCAUCCGCCAUGGGAUAGGUCAAUGAUUAUGGCUCGCUCCCUGCCAGUCCGUAAGGUCUGGUAGGGCCAUUUGGCACAACCGUAAACAAAUCAGAGUGCUCCAAGCAGGCAAUGUUAGGGGUAACCCAUUUGCUUGAAUGAUUUAGCAUGGAAUUGUCACGAAGCCGAUCGGAAACUUUGAGGGUUUACCUGAGAAGUGGAAGAUCCGGCGCUCGCAAUGAGACACUGGUAGAGGAUCCAAGUACUAUGGCGCGAGAGGUGAAAUUCAGUGACCGCCAUAUGACUAUCUAAUGCGAAAGCAGUUGUGAUCCAGAACGUGUCUGUCAAUCAGGGACGAAAGUUAAGGGAUCGAAGAUGAUUAGAUACCGUCGUAGUCUUAACCGUAAACGAUACCAACACGAGAUUGGUAGUGAGACUUUUAGAUCCUAUCAGAAUCCAAGGGAAACCGUUAAGUUUUUGGGUUCUGGGGGGGAGUAUGGUCGCAAGGCUGAAACUUAAAGGAAUUGACGGAAAGGCACCACCAGGAGUGGAGUA